rnacentral:rRNA from 12 species
UUAAACGGCCACACCAUCCCACGACUGUCUGAUCUGGUCUCAUCUCAGAAAUUAAGUGGAAAUGGGCCUGGUUAGUACUUGGAUGGGAGACAACCUUGGAAGACCAGGGGCCAGU